rnacentral:rRNA from 1 species
AAUCAACGCUGGCGGCGUGCCUCAGACAUGCAAGUCGAACGAUUAAGACUUCCUUCGGGAAGUGCAUAAAGUGGCGCACGGGUGAGUAACACGUACGUAAUCUACCCUCGAGUGGGGAAUAACGUUCGGAAACGAACGCUAAUACCGCAUAACGCAGCGGAACCGCAAGGUGACAGUUGUUAAAGGAGUAAUUCGAUUGAGGAGGAGCUUGCGGCAGAUUAGCUAGUUGGUAAGGUAACGGCGUACCAAGGCUACUACCUGUAUCCGGUCUAAGAGGACGGUCGGACACACUGACACUGAAUAACGGGUCAGACUCCUACGGGAGGCAGCAGUCGGGAAUUUUGGGCAAUGGGCGAAAGCCUGACCCAGCAACGCCGCGUGAAGGAUGAAGUAUUUCGGUAUGUAAACUUCGAAAGAAUGGGAAGAAUAAAUGACGGUACCAUUUAUAAGCUCCGGCUAACUACGUGCCAGCAGCCGCAGUAACAC